UACGGGGGGGGCAAGCGUUGUUCGGAAUUACUGGGCGUAAAGGGCUCGUAGGUGGCCAACUAAGUCAGACGUGAAAUCCCUCAGCUUAACUGGGGAACUGCGUCUGAUACUGGAUGGCUUGAGUUUGGGAGAGGGAUGCGGAAUUCCAGGUGUAGCGGUGAAAUGCGUAGAUAUCUGGAGGAACACCGGUGGCGAAGGCGGCAUCCUGGACCAACACUGACACUGAUGAGCGAAAGCCAGGGGAGCAAACCGGG
rnacentral:rRNA from 1 species